UGGGUGUGAGGGGAUGGUGGAGUUGCUGUUGCUCUGCAGUUGUAAUGAUCUGGAUAAUCCCAUUAACUGUCCUGGAGCUUGAGCAGGGCCCAUCAGAAGAAAACCUCAGGACUGCAGCACUCAAAUAAGCUGGAAAGAUCAGAUGGAUCCUAAAACUAAGAUCUUGACGUGUACAGCUGAAAAUCUCUGCUUCAGAUCACUGGAAAUAUUCCCACUUAUUCCAGUGCUGGUGUGCAUUGCUGCUCCCAGGACAAUUUUUGUGUACUUGUGUAGAAAGGGAGUGUGAGAGCUAGAAGGAAAGCAAAAUUACUUCAGGAUCCCAUGUAUCCUCCCCU